rnacentral:rRNA from 1 species
UAGGGAAUCUUCCGCAAUGGACGAAAGUCUGACGGAGCAACGCCGCGUGAGCGAAGAAGGCCUUCGGGUCGUAAAGCUCUGUUGUUAGGGAAGAACAAGUAUCGGAGUAACUGCCGGUACCUUGACGGUACCUAACCAGAAAGCCACGGCUAACUACGUGCCAGCAGCCGCGGUAAUACGUAGGUGGCAAGCGUUGUCCGGAAUUAUUGGGCGUAAAGCGCGCGCAGGCGGUCCUUUAAGUCUGAUGUGAAAGCCCACGGCUCAACCGUGGAGGGUCAUUGGAAACUGGGGGACUUGAGUGCAGAAGAGGAGAGUGGAAUUCCACGUGUAGCGGUGAAAUGCGUAGAGAUGUGGAGGUAACACCAGUGGCGAAGGCGACUCUCUGGUCCGUAACUGACGCUGAGGCGCGAAAGCGUGGGGAGCAAACAGGGAUUAGAUACCCUGGUAGUCCACGCCGUAAACGAUGAGUGCUAAGUGUUAGAGGGUUUCCGCCCUUUUAGUGCUGCAG